AUACGGAGGAUCCGAGCGUUAUCCGGAUUUAUUGGGUUUAAAGGGUGCGCAGGCGGGAGAUUAAGUCGGCGGUGAAAUUUUGCAGCUCAACUUUAAAAGGGCCUUCGAUACUGGGUUUCUUGAGUGUGGGUGAAGUAGGCGGCAUUUGUGGUGUUGCGGGGGAAUGCUUAGAUAUCACGAGGAACUCCGAUUGCGCAGGCAGCUUACUAAACCACUACUGACGCUCAGGCACGAAGGCGUGGGGAUCAAACAGGAUUAGAUACCCUGGUAGUCCACGCAGUAAACGAUGAUUACUGGCUGUUUGCGAUACAUUGUAAGCGGCUGAGCGAAAGCGUUAAGUAAUCCACCUGGGGAGUACGUUCGCAAGAAUGAAACUCAAAGGAAUUGACGGGG
rnacentral:rRNA from 1 species